rnacentral:rRNA from 1 species
UUAGGGAAAAUGCCGCAAAGAGCGCAACCCCUAUCUUUAGUUGUUAGCAGGUAAUGCUGAGAACUCUAAGGAGACUGCCGGUGAUAAACCGGAGGAAGGUGGGGAUGACGUCAAGUCAUCAUGGCCCUUACGUGUAGGGCUACACACGUGCUACAAUGGCGCAUACAGAGUGCUGCGAACUCGCGAGAGUAAGCGAAUCACUUAAAAUCCUUCUUAGUUCGGAUUGCAGUCUGCAACUCGCCUCCAUGAAGUCGGAAUCGCUAGUAAUCGCGUAUCAGCAUGCCGCGGUGAAUACGUUCCCGGGCCUUGUACACACCGCCCGUCACACCAUGAGAGUUGGUAACUCCAGAAGUCGAUGGUGGUAAC